UAUGAGUCUAGUUAGGAACCUAAUUUCUUCUCUCUCUCAUUUUUUUUUUCCAGUGCUGGCAUCAGACCCAGGGCCUUGUUUACAAUAGAGAAGUUACAGAACUACAUCCCUAGCCCUAGGGACUGAGUUUUACUAACUAAGUAGGUGUGAAUCCCAGUAGCUUUCUACCACUUGUUAAUCAUGUAAUCCUUGGGUAUCAGUCCAUUUUUAUAUUGCCACAAUAAUAUAGUUGAGAAAAAAAGACAUAUAGUUCACAGUUUUAGAGGCUGAAAAGUCAAGAUUAAGUGACCUUAUCUUUUUUGGCCUCUAUUAAGGAACCUUUAACUGUUUUACAACAUGGCAGAGAAGCAGGAAGCUCAAGUACAUAAGGAGACCUCCUUUAUAGGAGAUAAAUACAAUAAAGAUCCACUUUUAUAAGUUUUCACUCACUCUGAGGGACUGGCAUUAAUUCCUUCUAAAGAUGGUGACCCUGAUUACCUUGCACUCAGCCUUAACUCUUCAACCUGGAUCAAUUUUUUCCAGCAUAUAAACCUUUAGGAGACACAAAUCAUAUCCAAACAAUAGCACCCUUAUUGAAGCUAAACUCCUUGUUCUACAGUUUCUUCAUCUGUUAAAAAAGAAGAAUGAACAGAGCCUACCCUACAAGGUUGUAAUAAGGCUUCUGUACAGUCUUCUUUGAAAUACUAGCUAUUAGAAACCCUCCCCUCAUCUCAAAGGUCAUUUAUAAUCUUUUAUUUACAACUAAAA